UUUUAGGCCCAUACCACCCUGAACUCACCUGAUCUCCUCUGAUCUCAGAAGCUAAGCAGGGUCGGGCUUGUUUAAUACUUGGAUAGGAGAUUUUAGUUGAGUGGAUGGUGAGAGAC
rnacentral:rRNA from 1 species